rnacentral:rRNA from 1 species
AUUGAACGCUGGCGGCAGGCUUAACACAUGCAAGUCGAACGGUAGCAGGAGAAAGCUUGCUUUCUUGCUGACGAGUGGCGGACGGGUGAGUAAUGCUUGGGAAUCUGGCUUAUGGAGGGGGAUAACGACGGGAAACUGUCGCUAAUACCGCGUAUUAUCGGAAGAUGAAAGUGCGGGACUGAGAGGCCGCAUGCCAUAGGAUGAGCCCAAGUGGGAUUAGGUAGUUGGUGGGGUAAAGGCCUACCAAGCCUGCGAUCUCUAGCUGGUCUGAGAGGAUGACCAGCCACACUGGAACUGAGACACGGUCCAGACUCCUACGGGAGGCAGCAGUGGGGAAUAUUGCGCAAUGGGGGGAACCCUGACGCAGCCAUGCCGCGUGAAUGAAGAAGGCCUUCGGGUUGUAAAGUUCUUUCGGUAUUGAGGAAGGUUGAUGUGUUAAUAGCACAUCAAAUUGACGUUAAAUACAGAAGAAGCACCGGCUAACUCCGUGCCAGCAGCCGCGGUAAUACGGAGGGUGCGAGCGUUAAUCGGAAUAACUGGGCGUAAAGGGCACGCAGGCGGUUAUUUAAGUGAGGUGUGAAAGCCCUGGGCUUAACCUAGGAAUUGCAUUUCAGACUGGGUAACUAGAGUACUUUAGGGAGGGGUAGAAUUCCACGUGUAGCGGUGAAAUGCGUAGAGAUGUGGAGGAAUACCGAAGGCGAAGGCAGCCCCUUGGGAAUGUACUGACGCUCAUGUGCGAAAGCGUGGGGAGCAAACAGGAUUAGAUACCCUGGUAGUCCACGCUGUAAACGCUGUCGAUUUGGGGAUUGGGCUUAGAGCUUGGUGCCC